rnacentral:rRNA from 1 species
UGAGGAAUAUUGGUCAAUGGGCGGGAGCCUGAACCAGCCAAGCCGCGUGAGGGAGGAAGGCCCUAUGGGUCGUAAACCUCUUUUGUCAGGGAACAAAAGCGAGUAUGUAUACUAGUCUGAGUGUACCUGAAGAAAAAGCAUCGGCUAACUCCGUGCCAGCAGCCGCGGUAAUGCGGAGGAUGCGAGCGUUAUCCGGAUUUAUUGGGUUUAAAGGGUGCGUAGGCGGCGGUGCAAGUCAGCGGUAAAAGCCCGGGGCUCAACCCCGGCGAGCCGUUGAAACUGCAGUGCUAGAGAAGGCGAGAGGUACGCGGAAUGCGCAGUGUAGCGGUGAAAUGCUUAGAUAUUGCGCAGAACUCCGAUUGCGAAGGCAGCGUACUGGCGCCUGACUGACGCUGAGGCACGAAAGCGUGGGGAUCGAACAGGAUUAGAUACCC